CCCCUCUCAAGAUCACAUCUGGAGAGUUUCCAGUACUCUACCAGCCUUGGCUAUGCGAGGGAGAGUUGAGCAGAGCCAUACCCAUUCCUUUCCUAGCUUGGGCAUUGGCUAGUAAGUGGAAGGCAAUCUGCUACAAGA
rfam:Ornithorhynchus anatinus chromosome X1, whole genome shotgun sequence.